AUAUCUAGUCUUAAAGUCAAGUUAGAACCAUAGCUCUUAAUCAAUUAAUAUGGCACAGUAGCGUUAGUGUACUCGCAUCUUACCACUGCCGAAGAAUCGAAUUCGAUUUCUGGACUAGUCAUUAUCACAUGAUAAUCCUCACCGUUCAAAUACCAAACCUCAUAAUGCAGAACCAACUAGUCCUAGUUCUACUCGUUCUUUGUAUCAGUGCAGCUCUGGUGCCUACCGAAGGAUUCUUUAAGACGGGUCGAGGAUUAAGAGAAAGAGUGCCUGCUUCAAAACGAAGCGAAGUCGAGAGAGAGUACACCUACACGGAUGAUGAACGAAGAGCCUUUCUGGAUGCCUUGAUGAGAAGGGCACAGGAAGAACAACGAAGAAAUCAAAUGGACUGACCGCACGAAUAUGGAAAAUUUAUCGAUUCUAGUCAGGUAUCGCAAAACGUAUCCCAGAAGACCUACUAACUUCUUCUAACCAAAAUUUAACCAGCUGCUAACAAAGUAUUUAUGAACACACAAUAAAUCUGUGAUGCAUAUUAAUAAUGCUACAGA